CAGACCUCUAAUCGGAAAAGACUACCCGCUGAGUUUAAGCAUAUCACUAAGCGGAGGAGAAGAAACUAACCAGGAUUUCCCUAGUAACGGCGAGCGAACCGGACGAGCCCAGCGUGAAAAUCUGGCGG
rnacentral:rRNA from 1 species